CUUUAGUAUGUAUAUUACACUAAUUAAUGUCAUCUUAUAUUUAGUAUCAAUUGAGACGUCAUUUUGUUAAGACUUAAAGGUAUCCAAAGCGAUAAUAAUAGCGAUGAACGCCAUCACGUUAUUUCUCAGCAUAUUCCUUUUCACAUCUGUCUAUGGUCUGGACAGCUCUGGUGGUCGGCUGAAUAGUUUUUCAAACAUGGGUCCUGGGUCCGCCGCAGUGAAAAAGCUUGAUUUGAGACCUAAUGAAGUUCGCAGCCGUUCAUGUUUCACGUCCACGGGCGAAGUUGGUGAAUGCGUAUCAUAUUACAACUGUAAUGAUGCGCCCCAGGAUAUAUAUGAUAAAGGAAGCACAACCGGAUGUCCGCACUACCUUCAUGUCUGCUGUAUAGAUGUACCAACUGGUGAUGAGGAUUUAGAAAUUUAAAACUUAAUUUAAUGAAAUAUUUUAGGUAGAAUAAUGCUCACUAAACAAUAGUUCAUUUAAUCGAUACUUACAUUAACAGCCAGUUCUAAAGGGCGAUAAACUCCUCCUCUUUAAACCGCCAUUUUGGUUUACUAGAGACGGGUUAAUCUAUAAUAAUUUUCAUGAGACAGCGAUAUAUAGCGAAGUGUAUUAGAGUGAACGGGAUACAAAAUGGUGUCUUUGUUCUGUGUUAUGAAACAUCUUAUUUAUGUUCUAAAAUAUACAAUAUUGACAAAAACUGCAGAAGACGAACUAAACAUCAAAAGAAACUUCAACUCUGAUAGCAACUAGCGUCUUAAACGGGAAUUUUUACAAUAUCCAUAUAAGACGUCGUUCAGCACCAGGUAUUUAUCCGAAUUACAAUAAUUUCAAUUAAUGUUAUUGAAAUGUCAUUGCCUAUAAAGAAAACAAAACUUGGAAGCUAUACUGGCGUUGGAGCUUGAAAUAAAUAUUAGCAUUAGAA